GUUUUCACAUAAGUUAUAAAAAAAAAAUUAACAUUUUAUUAAUGAUUUUUAUACCAAGUCACAAUUUGAAUAUUUGUUUAGUGUAUGAACGCUUUAACUUAUGUUAAGAAAAAAAAAAUAAAAUAAAAUAACUAGAAGUAAAAUAAUUCGAUACAAAAUGGUUAAAAAUAAAAAGAAAGUUACUGUAAAAAGUUGUAAUACAUUUACUCAUCUGUUGCUUGGGCGCUUAAGCGUUUGUUCGUUCGGUCGGUCGUUCAUUCAUUCAUUCAUCCUUUUUUUUUUUUUUUUUUUUUCAAACAAUUAUUUUCCGUUUUUUUAAAAAAAAAUUCACAUAUUUUAUAUAUAUAUCAGUGCAAUGAGCUUGACAUACUGAUUAAGCAAAAACUGAUAUUAGAAAGUUAGUUAAAUUGAGUUUUUUUUUUGAAUUCAUAUUUAGUUGUUUCUUUUACAUAAAAGGUGUGAACAAUGACCAUAAAAAAAAAAAAUAUAAAUACAUAAAUAUUUACAUAUAUAUAUAUAUAUAUAUAUAUAUAUAUAUAUAUAUAUACAAUAUAUGGUAUUGGACAUACGCGUUUGUAUACAUACAUUUUAUAUAUAUAUGUAUAUAUGUGCUCAUCCCUUUUCAUUAUAUAUUAACUUUUAUAUGAUAUGUUUUUUUUUUUUUUUUUUAAUAUCCUAGAGUUGUAAGAGCGUUGAAAAAAAAUAAUAGACAGAGUUUUAUGCAUCACAAGCGCACACACAUAUAUAUACAUCCUUAUAUUAUACAUCGUAAAUAAAAAAAGCAAAAGAUGGUUUCAUCAGAGUUUGAAAAUAGUAAAAUUAAGCUUCCUUAUGAAAACGAAAUUACGAAACAAAUCGUAAAUAAAAUUUUGGAUAAUUUAAAUGAUAAGCAACAAACGGCAUAUGUUGGAUAUAGCAUGAAUAAAAACCAAAUCGUAAAAUACUUUCAUGAAGCUGAGCAGUUAUUCAUUUAUCAUGACAUUAACAAAUCAGGUGAAAUCGACAUAAAAUUAUUUCCACAAAUGGCUAGACAACUAAAACAAGUUUAUAGUAUAAGAGAUGUUAAAGAAUUUGAAAAAGAAAUGUACAUAAAAAAAAUUGAUAAAAUGAAUUUGCCAAUUUUUUUGACAUUAUUAAAAAGAAGAAUGAAUCAACUUAUUGAUAGUGAUGAAACUUUUUUUAAACAUUUUAAUAUAUUAGAUAUGAAAAAAGAAAACAAAAUUGAUCUUAAAAAAGUAAGUGGUUUUAUUAAAACCGUGGGGGAUAAGGUAAAUUCAGAAAAUUAUGAAUUUUUUAUUAAAUACAAUUUGGAAAAUAAUAAAAUGAUACAACCAAAAGAUAUUGUAUUAAAUGAACAAAAUAAACCAACUGCACUUUUUUUUCCUGCCUACAAAAAUAUGUUAACUUUUUAUAAAUAUCUUUAGUCUAAUUAAAGAAAAAAUGAAAAAAAAAAAAAAAAAAAACACAUCUAUAUAUAUAUAUACAAAUACGUACAAUACAUACAUGUUCCCUUUAAGUAGGCAAUUUUAAUCAUUAAACAUAUUUUUUUAUUUUUUUUAUUUUCCUGUACUGUAAUUAAAACUUUGUGUUAAUCGAUUUGGGUAUAACUAACAUUUGGGCAAUCAUAAAUAGUUAUUUUUAUGGUUAAGUCUGGUUUGGUACUUGUUUUGUUUUUUAAAUACAAAAAUGCCAAUAUA
rnacentral:lncRNA from 1 species